rnacentral:rRNA from 1 species
GCUGGUGACCAGCGCGACGGGGCCACACCCGUUCCCAUUCCGAACACGGCAGUUAAGCCCGUCAGCGCCGAUGGUACUAUGCCUGCGAGGGCAUGGGAGAGUAGGCCGUCGCCAGCC